rnacentral:rRNA from 1 species
UACGUAGGGUGCAAGCGUUAUCCGGAAUUAUUGGGCGUAAAGAGCUCGUAGGCGGUUUGUCGCGUCUGCUGUGAAAUCUGGGGGCUCAACCCCCAGCCUGCAGUGGGUACGGGCAGACUAGAGUGCGGUAGGGGAGAUUGGAAUUCCUGGUGUAGCGGUGGAAUGCGCAGAUAUCAGGAAGAACACCCGUGGCGAAGGCGGCUCUCUGGGACGGUACUGACGCUGAGACGCGAAAGCGUGGGGAGCGAACAGG